UGCUGCAUCGUGGGAGAGCUCGACUGAAGGUCGGCGCCGAAGGAGCAACCGCCCCGGAAACUCUCAGGCAAAAGGACCGCGGUGCGUUU
rnacentral:ncRNA from 2 species